GUGCUAAAAGCAUAGUGGGAAAGUGACGUGAAAUUCGUCCACAUUACUUGAUAAGGUCAUAGUCCGAAUGCCACCUAGCAC
ncrna:unclassified sequences AdoCbl variant RNA